rnacentral:misc_RNA from 1 species
GGCGUUUGCAUUUGUGUAGGCUGUAAAAAGGAGCAAUUCAUGUGAAAAUCUUGAUAAAACCAAGGAAGAAAGCUGUGUCAACUCCUGCAACAACCAGAGCUUGCAGGUUGGGGCUCUUGUCCAGGGACAACAAUUUUAGUUCCUUUGAGGAGUGAUGAGCUUCCUCCAGAAUCGGUGUCCUCGUUUGCAAUCAGCGCCUUCCUGCUAAUAACUCGGUA